UCUCUACCGCCUGUCCUGAUAUUUCCGAGGCAAGAUGGCGAACUAGACGCCCGGACGUCUCUCCCUGGCACAACCCACACCCCAGCUCACCACCCCAACCAGAUACCAACUGGAUGAGGAAACCGGCACAGAUCAUCCUGUCAGUGAUGGAGCUGCCGUACACGGCGGGACUGGAACACUUGGCCCUUUCUAUCAGAGGGAUGUUGGCCUUCUGCAGCGAUGGAGAAAUGUUUCCUAAAGGCAAAGCAAGGGUAGCCCCAACCAGUCACCACCAGUGGGGCUGAAGCAGUGAGGCCGAAGGCUUUUGGAGGAAUACAAACAGGCUUCUGACUCACUGGAAAAUGGAGGGAUUUGCUCAGAGCGGACAUGUACGGGCCUGUCAGUGUUAAACCAGUCACACAACCGCACGGCGUCUAGCACCCUGGAGCCCUAGUCAACCAUCCAGAAACCUGUAAACACCCCUAGCUCCAGUGGUUGUGUCUCCAUAAAUAGAACCAACCUGAACAGGACAAGGAAACCACCGCUCCGGAUGUGCAUACUCUCCUGUCAGAGGGAGGAAAAAUGAGACAAACAUGUCACUCACCGGUCGACUGUUGCCCGAUCAACAGGAGUGCUGGCCGCCACCGCCGACCUGAGCGCAGCGAACGGUCCAGAUCUCAGGUCCAAGGGUGUCGGACAGCGGCCCUUUCGGCGACCGCAGGCCUGUAAUAAAGCACGCCGGUGCGUGGCGUUAAGUUUCGACGCUGCGCAGAUUCAGAGAGAGAGAGACCUGUUUUGGAGUGGCUGAGCCCUGCUUACAAACAAAACCAAAGUAUUCCAGGUAACCUGACACUUGAAGCCGCUUCUGUCAUUGCCUACCUGUGCGCCUUUUUCACUUUAGUCCCUCCCCCCGCAUACACCCACUCCAAACUUUUCAUCCCUUUUUUUCGAGCCCAGUGGACAAAUUGCAGUCUGUUUCUUUUUAUAGUCUUUGCAACUUAUCAUUGCCUCCAGCGCUUACAUUUGAAAUUAUACCCAAACAUCCACACACACAAAUAAAUGCACAAGUUCCUGUUGAGUUUUUUUUCCCCAAACCCAAACCCAGAUGAUUUACACGAGUCAUACCAAAACACUUAAACUACAUCACAUAAUCAAAACUGCAUUUUUUACAAACUGCAUUUUUACAUCCACAAUAGGCUACAUACACCACACACCUUUAAACCGCAGGUGUGUUUACUUGCUCGUGUUGUAUUGACAGUCAAAUCAUGGUAUUAACUGUAUGAUCCUGGAUGACUCACAGUACUCCACGUCUCACAUUGCACUACAAAGGUACCGUAAAACGGGGUUAUAAGGCGGGAUAAUAAGGGACAAUUUUCGGGUUAAUAAGGGACAAUUUUUGGGAAAAUGUUUUAAAUG